rnacentral:rRNA from 1 species
UACAGAGGGGGCAAGCGUUGUUCGGAAUUACUGGGCGUAAAGGGCGCGUAGGCGGCCUGUUAAGUCGAACGUGAAAUCCCUGGGCUCAACCCAGGAACUGCGUCCGAUACUGGCAGGCUUGAAUCCGGGAGAGGGAUGUGGAAUUCCAGGUGUAGCGGUGAAAUGCGUAGAUAUCAGGAGGAACACCGGUGGCGAAGGCAGCAUCCUGGACCAACACUGACGCUGAGGAGCGAAAGCGUGGGGAGCAAACAGG